rnacentral:lncRNA from 1 species
CUCUUUGUCACUUGCGGCAUUUAAACGUUGCUGACAGCGGUGUUAUAUCAUGUCCUAAAAUAGAAACUUAGGUAAAUGUGUAAGUGGCGGUGGGGACGUCGUUGGAGCUAGAGCAGAUAAAGAACAUGAGACCUGUGCUGUUUUUUCUGGUGCUGGUGGGCGUGCUGACACCUGCCUCGAUCGGAGUGCCCCUCGUCAAUGACGCUGACGACAGGCAAGGACACGCAGAGCACUCCAGACAGAAACGUGCUGUUUUAAGUGCUAUUAAGGAAGUUGACUGCGGCGCCUACACGGCUGUUAAGGAAUGUACCACAGAUCUCGAUUCCUGUGGUGGUUUUGUGACUUUGUGGAUAUUGUCUGCAGUGCCAUCUCACAUUCAAGUACCGCUAUGUCGCUGUUGUGUGACACAAAUGUGGACAAAUAUGAAAGUACCGUUAUGGAUGAUUAUGGAUACAGCAGUCACGGUACUCCGAGAGAUGCUGAAAGAUUUAUCAUGAAACUUGGAGAGGACAUUGAAAACCUGCCCAAAUCAUGCUGGGAGAAAUUUGCCAAUUUCUUCAAAAAUCUCUGGAGAAGUUUUCUGGAUAGUUUUCAUGAUUAACACCCGAUUUUGAUGUAACCUUGAAUUUUGUUAGUUUGCAUCCCGAUAUUAUGGAAUACUGUAAGGGACAUUCUCGCGAUCUCGCAUUCUCGCGAUCUCGACCUUUGGAAACAAGCUAAAAAUGCCAAAAGUGCGAGAAUGCGAGAUC